rnacentral:tRNA from 1 species
GGGGAUUUAGUUCAGUGGUAGAGCGCUUGCCUAGCAAGUGCAAGGCCCUGGGUUCAGUUCCCAGCUCCG